rnacentral:lncRNA from 1 species
UUUUCAGGACGUUCUUGCUUUAGCAUUUUUUUGCACGCCAUUUAUUUUUUUUCCCCCAUGGUAUUUAGCACAUUUAGCACAUUUUCCCCCACUGAUGCCCCCCUCACUCCCCCUCUCUACCCCCCCAGGACCGGCGGCUGGAGGCGGAGGGCAGAGCCGGCUCCUGGCGCCCGGGGAACCCCUACUGCUCCCCGGUUUUGGUGCGGAAAAAGGCCAUUCGCAGCAAAGUCCUGCGCUCGGGGGCGUACCGGGACUGCGGGGGAGAGAGCCAGCUCCACCAGCCCCCCCGUGAUGCUGGUGAGUCGCCCGGAGGGGAAACUGAGGCACAGAGAGUGUGUGUGUGUGUUGGGGGUGAAGAGGGGAUUAACGGGCUCCCGCAGGGGCGGCGGGAUGGGAGAGCAAAGGGGCGAGGAGCUUGGCCUUCCUCCCCGAAAACGAGAGCGUCCUCGCCGAGAGCGUGUGGGCCUUCGCCGGCAUCGCCAGGGAUGGGGGGAUCGCGCUGCUGCGGCGGGACGUCCCCGGUGCCUUCCUGCUGCGCCCCGAGCCCGGGCCAGCCCCGCGCUGGUGCCUGUGGGUGCGGGCGCCCUGCGGCGUCGUCCCCUAUGGGCUCUGCAGGACCCAGCAGGGCCGGUUCUGCGUGGAGGUGAGGGGCUGCGGGCAGGGCACGGGGCAGGGGGCUCGGCUGCAGUGGGGCAGGGUGGCACCCGGGCACCGGCGUUUGAUGGGGCUGUGCAUGGGUGCAUCGGUAUGGAUGUACCAGUGCACUUGGUCCAUCUGUGCAUGGAUGCACAAGUGUGUAAGUGUGGUUGACGCAUCGGUGCAUUGGCACAUGGAUGUACCAAUGACUUCGUGCAUCUGUGUGUGGAUGCACGAGUGUGUAAGUGUGGUUGACACAUCGGUGCUUUGCCACAUGGAUGUACCAGUGCCCUUGGUGCAUCUGUGCAUGGGGGUGCACGAGUGCGUUAAGUGCACUUCAUGCAUCAGUGCAUGGGUACGUGGAUACACUGGUGUGUAAGGAUGCCUCUCUGCAUGGAUGCACUGGUGUGUAAGGGUACCUCUGCACGUGUGCACAAGUGCAUCAGUACACAUGUGCAUUUGUUGCACUAUGUAAGGGCGUUUGAGCACCUGUGCGUGGAUGCACAAGUGUGUAAGUGCACUUGAUGCAUCGGUGCAUGGCUGCACCAGUGCAGUUGGUGCAUCUGUGCAUGGGUGUACGAGUGUGUAAGUGCACUUCAUGCAUCGGUGCACAUCUGUGCAUGGGUACGUGGAUGCACUGGUGUGUAAGGGUGCCUCACUGCAUGGAUGCACUGGUGUGUAAGGGUACCUCUGCACGCAUGAACAAGUGCAUCGGUACAUGUGUGCAUUUGUUGCACUGUGUAAGCACAUUUGAGCACCUGUGUGUGGAUGCAUGAGUGUGUACGUGCAGUUGAUGCAUUGGUGCAUGGGCACAUGGAUGCACUGGUUUGUAAGUGUGCCUCUCUGCAUUGACACACAAGUGCAUUGCUGCACGUAUGCAUUUGUUGCACUGUGUAAGCGCAUUUGUGCACCUGUGCAUGGAUGCACCAGUGCAUUUGGUGUAUCUGUGCGUGCAAGCACAGGUGUGUAAGUGCAGCUAUGCACCAAUUCAUUGGUGCAUCAGUGCAAGAAGGUACUGUGCAUUUGGUGCAUCUGUGCAUGGAUGCACGAGUGUGCACGUGCAGUUGAUGCAGGGGUGCAUGGCUGCAUUGGUGCAUGGAUGUACCAGUGUCUCUGUGCGUGGAUGCACUGGUGCAUUGUUACACGCAUGCACUUGUUGCACUGUGUAAGUGCAUUUGUGCGUGGAUGCACUGGCGCAUCGGUGCAUGGGUGCAUUGGUGCACAGAUGCACUGGGGUGUAUGUGCAGUUGGUGCAUUGGUGCAUUGAUGCACUGGUGCAUCAGCACACAAUGCACUAGGGUGUAUUGGUGCAUUUAAUGCACUGUGUAAGUGCAUUUGUGCACCUUUGCAUGGAUGCACCGGUGCAUUUGGUGUGGCUGUGUGUAGAUGUGCUGGUGCGCAGAUGCACCAAAUGCACUUACACACCAGUGCACCUGUGCAUGGACACAUCAUUGCACGGGGGUGCACUGGUGCAUUUGAUGCAUUGGUGCACGGAUGUGUUGGUGCACUGAUGCACUGGGAUGGUGCGUUGGUGCAUGGAUGCACUGGUGUGUAUGUGCAUUUGAUGCAGGGGUACAUGGGUGUAUUUGCUUCACAGUUGCACGGGUGCACAGGUGUGUAAUUGUGUGUGCUCCACAAGUGUGUGGGCGCACAGAGGCAUCUCCUUCACGGCUGCACCAGGGCUCAGGUGCCUCUGUGCGUGGUGCACGGGGGUGUCGGUGCAAGGGCACGUUUGAUUCAUGGGUGCAUUGACACACUGGUGCCCCUGUGCACGGUGCAGGGCGCACGGGUUCCAGAGUGUGCGAGUGCACGGCCGAAUCCGUGCUUCGGUGUGCAGUUACACUUGAUGCACAAGUAUAUCCGUGCAUGGGUGUGAGUGUGAAUCACGGGCACGUUUGAUCUGUGUUUGAUCUGUGGGUAUAUCUGUGUGCGAGGCGCAGCGGUGCGGCGUGCACACGUGGCUAGGCGGGGUGCUUUUCUGCAUGCACACACGGGUGCAAGGGGCGCACUGGGUUUGCGUGGUGCACAAGUACACGAGUGCCUUCGCCGCGGGGGUUUGGGGGUGCACGAGUGUCGUGCCAACCCCCCGCCCCGAGCUUUACGUGGCUGCCGCCUGCCUUAUGUUCGCCCGUGGCAAUAAACGGCUGUCGUGCAACCA